rnacentral:tRNA from 2 species
GCGGGUGUAGCUCAAUGGUAGAGCACCUGCCUUCCAAGCAGGCUACGUGGGUUCGAUUCCCAUCACCCGCU